UCAGGAAGGCCAGUGAGGGAGGGGGCCGCCUCCCAGCUCCCCCUCCCCUGCGCGGAGGAUCGCCUCUACUGUUGCUUGCCGGGGUCCGUGUCGUGUGAGUGUGAACACAGGGAAGCGGUCUCGGCGGGUUUGCGGGGGUCGUAGGGAGACACCCGCCCGUCUCCGUUCUCGCGGUCGCUCUCACCUGCUCCAUUGGGCCAGAAGAAGGUGAACAGGGGAGCUCAGGUGUUCACCCGCCUGAGCCUGGACCUGGGGUGGUCGAUCUUCGGGCGGGCCCCGGUGUUUGUGCGCAGGCCCCGCGGCCGGGCCGCCGAGGGAACCCAGCUCCGUGGGCAGGCCGGCUUGUUCUCUGCGCCGCCGUUGGCCCUGCCUGACCCGCCCGGAUCCCGGCAGGUGCAGCUGGUCCCAUGUGGGCCCACCGCCUCCCCGCUCUGCCAGGGGUUGGGUCUGUCCGGGUCUGGUUCUGUGGAUUAACCGCCUCGACGUCGGGACGUUUUUCCCUUCGCGAGAAGGCUGCGCUGUCCUUUCAGGAGGCCGCUGUCCGGCACGGCUUUGUGUUUUGUACCCUUCUGUGCUGAACCUGUCCACGUUAUACUACGUUGUGUCUUUAAGAACGUGACCGGUUUUGGUGGGGGUUUGGUGGCUACAGAAGUAAUGCAUAUCUAUCUUUGAAAAUUUAAAAAUUUGGAGACGCACAGUUUAACCUCACCUAUAACUGUAGCACGUCAGAGAAAACCACCAAUGAGGUUUCACGUCCUCUGGUCUUGUAUUCCAAGUGUACGGGGAUUCGUUUCUUGAAGAUUAAACCUUUCCCUCCGUGUCUUCCCUGGGCUGGGUGUGUCCCGCCGUGGCUGCCAGGACCCUCGCCCCCCCACUGCUGGGCCUCUGGGCUCUGCCUUUGCUGCCCGGCUGUUGUAUAGAACUCGUUCCGAAGGCCCACCCGUGAGCAGGGUCCCAGCUGUUUCCUCGGGCUGUGUCAUCAGACGUUUCCGGAAUCGCUGGAGUGAAGGAUGUGUGCAUUUCUUGCGUGUGCUUGUGAGCCUUCCGGCACGUUCUGAGAAGCGACUCUUCUGGCCCCAUUCUGAGGAUGGAACGUGGGCGGUGGCUUCAGAGUCAGUGACCCGGGCACGUGUCCCCGCAUGGCCACGUCCCGCCUCGAGAUCCUGGCCAGUCUCAUGGCCCCAAGCCGUGGCAUUCUCACGGAUUCUCCUGGAUGCGAUUCGAAGCCACAGGUCCUGCCUCCACGGCUGCCCUCCACCCACACGGCCCCCACUUUGCAGCCACGCAGGAGGACACACGCUCAGUGACAGGCUCAGUAGACAGGCUCCCGUUCGCCCUGACUCGCCCUCCUCCCGCGCAUCUCUCCCGUUUGGGCCUGGAUGUCCAGACCGGCCUCCGGAGAGAAGGCUCACGGCGAGCUCCGUGCUGGUUCAAAGAUUUCACCAAAAACCCCACCGUUCGUGUGUCCGUGUCCACGGAGUUGGAUGUGGUGCGUGGCAGAACCCGGGGCUGGGAGUCCAGAAGCUUCUGUCCCUGCUCACCGUCUCACGGCCUGAGGUCUUGGGCAGCUCGCCCCCUGCUUCCACGCCUCAGUUUCCCCUUCUGAAAUCUCACGUCUUUGUAAUUCCCUGUAAUCCUGGAGACCCUGAGAAAGGCGCUCCAGGAGGACGGAGACAGAGGUGAUGAGACCCAGACGGCCGGUGGGACGUCCCCUCCCCUGACCUCCGGCAAAGACCACCCCUCGCGUAAUCGGAGAGCCAAGACUCUUGAUCAGCUCCGACACCAGAUGGACCGUUGACCCCACGGGCAAGACCCCCGCCCUGCACGGCAUGACCCGCAUGCAGUUCCGGGGGGACGUGCACCCCCCUGACCCCAUUGCCGCCCGAGCAGGCUCCGCCUUGUCCAUGUGAGGGAAACAGCCCCCACGUCUCCGUCCUCCACCUCCUGCCUCCGUCUCCCAUCGCCGCGCUCUUCUCCUCUGACCUCUGAACCCGGGUGGGGGAGGGGGCAGCGGGGAGGCUGGCGGAGAGAGGAUUCAUCAAUCUUUAAUUUUUAUGGAAAUUCGUGUCCUAGAAAUCCCCAAGGGGCUGAAAAUUGUUCUGUGUUUUCGGAAUCCGGUGUGAUUUGUCCUGAACGCGGUUCUGUGUAAAUAAACAGCAUAUUACGUCUCCAGUCCCCCCUUGCUCCGCACACGACAGGGAACUUGACCGUUUAAUCCACUCGAGGGAGCGGAGGGGCCAGGGUCGCUGCCGGGUGGGGCGCAGGGUCGCGGGGCAGCCACCGCAGCUGGCGAGGGGUCCCGCGUGCUGGCCUUUUCGUACCUGAGCAGGACGUCCAGGACAACGGUGCCCGGGAACCUGGUGGCAGGAGGGCUUAGGUGGAGCUGGGGCUCAGGCAGCCCCAGGGGGCUCACCCCCAAGUGUGUUACCAGCACCUGUCGGUGGGGGGGGCGCUUCACCCAUCAGCUCCUUCCCUCCUUCGCGUUUGUCCCUCAGGCAUCCGUUAGGCAUUCUCCGGGGCGUGGUCUCUGCUGGGGAUUUGCACACGUGAUUCCGAGCGAAGGGAACCAGAUGCCAAGUUCGCACCGAGGGAUCCUGUCCAUAGGACGCCGUGGGACAGACUGGAUCGGCCCAGUGGCGUUGGCGGGAGGGAGGGCGUGGGGAGGGCCGACGAACCACGCGUGUGAGGGAACCGCGGGGGCCUUGCUGCGUGUGCGUCAGAGCAGACUGGACAGUUCUCGCGGGGCCGAGUGUUUUCACAGUGGUCCGAGGGUCCCACCUCCACCUCGCAGUGAAGCAGAACCAGAGAGCUCAGCAAGGGCACAGGGGUCCUGUGAGGGUGGGAAGGGGCGCUGAGGCACGAAACGGGUGUGGCAGCGAAGGCCUCUCUGAAAAGUGGGCU